UUAAAGCAUGCAACUUCUCCAUUUGUUGUGAUUUCACAAGUUUAUAAAGAGAGCCUAUUGAAAUGGCACAAGUUUGUCACCAAGUUGGGACUCUCUUCUAAUCAGUCAUGAUUGUUUUCUGCACAUUUUGAUGUAAGAAAAUUAAUCAUAUCAUCUUUGUCUCGUUCCUGAACCCUUGAGUAUAUUGGCUCUUGUGCCCUGUUUUUAUUGUUCCGUUUAUUGAAGACAAAUAUUUCUACAUCAUCAUGCACACUCAUAAAUAUUGAUUUAUGUCCUCUUACAUAUUGAUUGCAGAUUUUACCUGAGAAAUAUAGCUACUAUAGAAGGUUUGAUCCGACUGCAAAUCAUGCCACAGACUGUGUGAUCUGCAUGACUGCCAUUGAGCUAAGCCAUCGCUCAAAUGAUUGCAUGGUGACGCCAUGUGAUCAUUUCUUUCACUCCAGUUGUUUACAAAGAUGGAUGGACAUAAAAAUGGAGUGCCCAACUUGCCGCCGUCCUCUUCCUCCAUCCUAGGAGAUCGAUCGUUCGACUCUUAUUCAGAAUAGCGCCGUGGAUCAAUUGACACCAACCUGUUAAUAGUGGUGUAGUGGCUUCAAAGAAUUUAGAUUAUUCCAUCAUUUAAAGACUUAAAACGCAGAUCCAGCCUUUCAUUUCUGAAUCUUCAAUGGUUUUUCUUGUUCGGCUAUAACCCCAAAGGUUGCCUGAACAUGUAUAGACAAGAGCUGAUACGAGAGUGGCAGUCCUCGUGUUGUAUAUUCUGGUUUGUGUAGUAGAAAUUCGAUGAAUUUUCGUCACUAUGUACUGUAUUUACAUGCCAAUUGUAGAUUUACUUAGAAAAUAGCCCAUCCGUGUGCAUUCUGAUAGGUUAUGGACUUGCACUACCUUUUAAACAGUUUCUUUCAUGCAAUAACACAAGCAAAGAACCAAUUUUAAACGAGAACAUGUUUGGCAUAUAGAGGGGA